rnacentral:rRNA from 1 species
GAUGAACGCUGGCGGCGUGCCUAAUACAUGCAAGUCGAGCGAACAGAUGAGGAGCUUGCUCCUCUGACGUUAGCGGCGGACGGGUGAGUACCACGUGGAUAACCUACCUAUAAGACUGGGAUAACUUCGGGAAAUCGUAGCUAAUACCGUAUAAUAUAUUGAACCGCAUGGUUCAAUAGUGAAAGACGGUUUUGCUGUCACUUAUAGAUGGAUCCGCGCCGCAUUAGCUAGUUGGUAAGGUAACGGCUUACCAAGGCAACGAUGCGUAGCCGACCUGAGAGGGUGAUCGGCCACACUGGAACUGAGACACGGCCCAGACUCCUACGGGAGGCAGCAGUAGGGAAUUUUCGGCAAUGGGCGAAAGCCUGACGGAGCAAUGCCGCGUGAGUGAUGAAGGUCUUCGGAUCGUAAAACUCUGUUAUUAGGGAAGAACAAAUGUGUAAGUAACUAUGCACGUCUUGACGGUACCUAAAGAGAAAGCCACGGCUAACUACGUG